GAUGAACGCUGGCGGCGUGCCUAAUACAUGCAAGUCGAGCGAACGGACGAGAAGCUUGCUUUUCUGACGUUAGCGGCGGACGGGUGAGUAACACGUGGAUAACCUACCUAUAAGACUGGGAUAACUUCGGGAAACCGGAGCUAAUACCGGAUAAUAUUUUGAACCGCAUGGUUCAAAAGUGAAAGACGGUCUUGCUGUCACUUAUAGAUGGAUCCGCGCUGCAUUAGCUAGUUGGUAAGGUAACGGCUUACCAAGGCAACGAUGCGUAGCCGACCUGAGAGGGUGAUCGGCCACACUGGAACUGAGACACGGUCCAGACUCCUACGGGAGGCAGCAGUAGGGAAUCUUCCGCAAUGGGCGAAAGCCUGACGGAGCAACGCCGCGUGAGUGAUGAAGGUCUUCGGAUCGUAAAACUCUGUUAUUAGGGAAGAACAUAUGUGUAAGUAACUGUGCACAUCUUGACGGUACCUAAUCAGAAAGCCACGGCUAACUACGUG
rnacentral:rRNA from 1 species